rnacentral:rRNA from 1 species
GAUGAACGCUGGCGGCGUGCCUAAUACAUGCAAGUCGAGCGAACGGACGAGAAGCUUGCUUCUCUGAUGUUAGCGGCGGACGGGUGAGUAACACGUGGAUAACCUACCUAUAAGACUGGGAUAACUUCGGGAAACCGGAGCUAAUACCGGAUAAUAUUUUGAACCGCAUGGUUCAAAAGUGAAAGACGGUCUUGCUGUCACUUAUAGAUGGAUCCGCGCUGCAUUAGCUAGUUGGUAAGGUAACGGCUUACCAAGGCAACGAUGCAUAGCCGACCUGAGAGGGUGAUCGGCCUCACUGGAACUGAGACACGGUCCAGACUCCUACGGGAGGCAGCAGUAGGGAAUCUUCCGCAAUGGGCGAAAGCCUGACGGAGCAACGCCGCGUGAGUGAUGAAGGUCUUCGGAUCGUAAAACUCUGUUAUUAGGGAAGAACAUAUGUGUAAGUAACUGUGCACAUCUUGACGGUACCUAAUCAGAAAGCCACGGCUAACUACGU